UACGUAGGGAGCAAGCGUUGUUCGGAUUUACUGGGCGUAAAGGGCGCGUAGGCGGCAAUUCAAGUCAUCUGUGAAAUCUCCGGGCUUAACUCGGAACGGUCAGAUGAUACUGCUUUGCUAGAGUGCGGAAGGGGCAAUCGGAAUUCUCGGUGUAGCGGUGAAAUGCGUAGAUAUCGAGAGGAACACCUGAGGUGAAGACGGGUUGCUGGGCCGACACUGACGCUGAGACGCGAAAGCGUGGGGAGCGAACAGG
rnacentral:rRNA from 1 species